CCUACGGGAGGCAGCAGUGAGGAAUAUUGGUCAAUGGGCGCGAGCCUGAACCAGCUAAGUCGCGUGUAGGAUGACUGCCCUACGGGUUGUAAACUUCUUUUAUAAAGGCAUAAAGUGAGGCACGUGUGCCUUUUUGUGUUUAUUUUAUGAUUAAAGUCCGGCUCACUCCGCGCCAGCAGCCUCGGUACUACGGAGGAUGCGAGCGUUAUUCGGAUUUAUUGGGUUUAAAGGGAGCGUAGGCGGGUUUUUAAGUCAGGUGUGAAAGUUUGGGGCUCAACCGUAAAAGUGCAAUUGAUACUGGAAGCCUAGAGUGCAGGUGAGGAAGGCGGAAUUCGUGGUGUAGCGGUGAAAUGCUUAGAUAUCAGGAAGAACUCCGAUGGCGAAGGCAGCCGACUGGUCUGCAACUGACGUUGAGGCUCGAAAGUGUGGGUAGCAAACAGGAUUAGAUACCCUAGUAGUC
rnacentral:rRNA from 1 species